rnacentral:rRNA from 1 species
GAUGAACGCUAGCGGGAGGCUUAACACAUGCAAGUCGAGGGGCAUUUCUGAUCCCGAGUAAUCGGGAUUGGGAACGACCGGCGCACGGGUGAGUAACGCGUAUGCAACCUGCCCUGUACUGGAGGAUAGGCUCUCGGAAACGGGAAUUAAUACUCCAUGAUGAUAUACUGGGGCAUCCCGGUAUAUUUAAAACUCCGGUGGUACGGGAUGGGCAUGCGUAACAUUAGCUAGUUGGUAAGGUAACGGCCUACCAAGGCUACGAUGUUUAGGGGCCUGAGAGGGUGAUCCCCCACACUGGUACUGAGUACACGGGCCAGACUCCUACGGGAGGCAGCAGUGAGGAAUAUUGGUCAAUGGGCGCAAGCCUGAACCAGCCAUCCCGCGUGCAGGAAGAAGGCGUUAUGCGUUGUAAACUGCUUUUGCAGGGGACGAAAACCCGACGUGUCGGGGCUUGACUGUACCUUGUGAAUAAGCAUCGGCUAACUCCGUGCCAGCAGCCGCGGUAAUCACG